GGGCGAGUGACGGAAUGGUAGACGUGCAGCCUUGAGGUGGCUGUGCCAGAAAUGGUGUGGAGGUUCGACUCCUCUCUCGCCCA
rnacentral:tRNA from 1 species